AUUGAACGCUGGCGGCAGGCCUAACACAUGCAAGUCGAGCGGAUGAAGGGAGCUUGCUCCUGGAUUCAGCGGCGGACGGGUGAGUAAUGCCUAGGAAUCUGCCUGGUAGUGGGGGAUAACGUCCGGAAACGGGCGCUAAUACCGCAUAAGUCCUGAGGGAGAAAGUGGGGGAUCUUCGGACCUCACGCUAUCAGAUGAGCCUAGGUCGGAUUAGCUGGUUGGGGGGGUAAAGGCCUACCAAGGCACCAAUCCGAAACUGGCCUGGGAGGAUGAGCGGUCCCCCUGAACCUGAAACGCGUCCCGUCCCCCUCGGGGGGCCAGCGUUGGGAAUUUUUGACCAUGGGGCGAAGGCCUAUUCCGCCCUUCCGCCUUGUUUAAAAAAGUUUUCCGGUUUUUAAACCCCUUUAUUUGGAGAGAAAGGCAGCUAGGUUAAUCCCUGCCUUUUUGACGUUACCAACAGAAUAAGCACCGGCUAACUUCGUG
rnacentral:rRNA from 1 species